AUACAGCUGACGAGUCCUGAAUAGAACGAAACGUGCGUCCUGGAU
rnacentral:hammerhead_ribozyme from 1 species